GGAAGGAUCAUUAACACGUUCUAAACGUAUCAACCAAACGGUUAAGUGCAAACUUAUUCCCUGUAUUCUAAAGCUGUUCAAUAAUUUCUAGUGAUGGGUAAGUCUUUCGGGACUUACAGGAAAUAUUGAACUAGGGUUUUGAACCCAAGGUUUUCUAAUAUAGGCUUUUCCCUUCUUUCCAUCACUUCCAACCAACCAUUUUCACCACUCUUAACUUAUGACUAAAUCUUUCGAACGAAGAAAUUUGUUUGGAAUUGUAUAUCUAACACUGUACAACUCUUAGCAAUGGAUAUCUUGGUUCUCGCAACGAUGAAGAACGCAGCGAAAUGCGAUAUGUAAUGCGAAUUGCAGAAUUCAGUGAAUCAUCAAAUCUUUGAACGCAAAUGGCGCUUUCGGGAUAGACCUGGAAGCACGCCUCUCUGAGUAUCGGUUCAAACACAACUCAUUCAAUUAAUGGAUUUAUUCAUUAAGGUGAAUGGAAAAUGAGAGUCUAAGCAUCUGAUGCUUUGUCUCUUUAAAUAUGUUGAGCUUCGAUCUCUCUAAUCGUUUAGAUCCUUGUGAUCUAAUAGCCUUCAUGGCUUUUUCGAUAUUAGUGACGUGGAUAUUAAUCACUUUGUGAUUGCAAGAAACGUCUGUCUAACUAUUGAAAAUCUAUGUUAUGAAGUGUGAAGAAUAGAGAUGUAUUGUAAGUGUAGAAUUGAAACCUAAGUAUAUGAAUACGCAAGUAUCCAUAUAUGAAAAUCUUGAAAUUAGAUCUCAGAUGAAGCGAGAAGACCCCCUGAAUUUAAGCAUAUUAAUAAGGGGAGGAAAAGAAACUAACAAGGAUUCCCUUAGUAACGGCGAGUGAAGCGGGAAUAGCUCAACAUGAAAAUCGGUGUCCCAAGCGGGACUUCGAAUUGUAGCCUAGAGACGCGUUAUCAGCGUGUGACCCAGGAAUAAGUCCUUUGGAAGAAGGCAUCAAAGAGGGUGAGAAUCCCGUCCUUGUCCUGGAGUUCGCCGCGUACGAUGCGCGUUCGAAGAGUCGAGUUGUUUGGGAUUGCAGCUCUAAAUAGGUGGUAAGUUUCAUCUAAAGCUAAAUAUUGGCGAGAGACCGAUAGCGAACAAGUACCGUGAGGGAAAGAUGAAAAGAACUUUGAAAAGAGAGUUAAAAAGUACUUGAAAUUGCUAAGAGGGAACCGCUGGAACCCAGUGCUACCCAUGGUCAUUUUUGCCGUUUGCUAUUCGAUGUGUAUUGUUCUAGUUCGCAAGUCUAGUUCAGUGCUCGGAGGGUGGGUAGGCGGUACUGUGAUUGUGGGUGUGUCCGAAUCAGUUCGAUUCGCGGGAGAACCAAAGUCGGAAGGUGGGGUGCUUGCACUUGUUAUAGCCGACUUUGGAUACCGUGGGUUGGACUGAGGAUGUCAUAGUGCGCCUGUUGGCUUGAGACCUUGCUCCUAGUUGGCAUUCAUGGUUUGGAUAGCAAUGCUAUGCGGUCGUGGAUGUUGGCUACUGAGUGGGUGCUCUCAUAUGCACUAUCGCGAUUCGGACGAAAUGGGUUCCAUCGACCCGUCUUGAAACACGGACCAAGGAGUCUAACAUAUAUGCGAGUAUUUGGGUGGAAAACCCUUCGAUGCGAAAUGAAAGUAAAGGCAGCUUGCUGCUGUGGUAGGAAACCCGCAAGGGUGGCACUAUCGACCGAUCAUCACUUGUGAAAGAUUUGAGUAAGAGCAUAUCUGUUGGGACCCGAAAGAUGGUGAUCUAUGCCUGAACAGGGUGAAGCCAGGGGAAACUCUGGUGGAAGCUCGUAGCGAUACUGACGUGCAAAUCGUUCGUCUGAUUUGGGUAUAGGGGCGAAAGACUAAUCGAACCAUCUAGUAGCUGGUUCCCUC
rnacentral:misc_RNA from 1 species